GCCGCGUGCGGGAUGACGGCCUUCGGGUUGUAAACUGCUUUUGUACGGAACGAAAAAGCUUCUCCUAAUACGAGAGGCCAUGACCGUACCGUUACAAUAAGCACCGGCUAACUACAUGCCAGCAGCCGCGGUAAUACGUAAGGUGCGAGCGUUAAUCGGAAUUACGGGGCGUAAAGCGUGCGCAGGCGGUUAUGUAAGACAGAUGUGAAAUCCCCGGGCUCAACCUGGGAACUGCAUUUGUGACUGCAUGGCUGGAGUACGGGGAGGGGGAUGGAAUUCCGCGUGUAGCAGUGAAAUGCGUAUAGUGCGGAGGAACACCGAUGGCGAACGGAUCCCCUGGACCUGUACUGACGGAAUGCACGAAAGCGUGGGGAGCAAACAGGAUUAGAUACCCUGGUAGUCCACGCCCUAAACGAUGUCAACUGGUUGUUGGGAAUUAAUUUUCUCAGUAACGAACCCCACGCGUGAAGUUGACCGCCUGGGGAGUACGGCCGCAAGGUUGAAACUCACAGGAAUUGACGGGGACCCGCACAAACGGUGGAUGAUGUGGUUUAAUUCCAUGCAACGCGUAAAACCUUACCCACCUUUGACAUGACAUGAAGUUUCC
rnacentral:rRNA from 1 species